rnacentral:tRNA from 1 species
GUGGCCUUAAUUCAGUAGGUAGAAUCCCCGGUUGUGAACCGGGCAGUCGUGGGUUCAAGUCCCACAGGUCACCCCA